rnacentral:misc_RNA from 1 species
GUCAUUUUUUUUUGAUGUUGUUUACUUCAGGGCUAGUUGGGGUAGUAGGACUUAGGCGUUCCAAAAACUAUACUGUAAAUUUUUUUUACAUGUAAAAUUUGUCCUAUAGUGGGGACUUAGAGAGAAUUUGGAAUAAUUAUACUAAAUUUUUUUUACAUGUAAAAUUUGUCCCAUAGAGUGGACUUAGAGAAAUUAUAAGGUGGAAUAAUUAUACUGUAAAUUUUUUUUACAUGUAAAAUUGGUCCUAUGGAGGGGACUUAUGGGUGCAAUAAUUAUACUGUAAAUUUUUUUUACAUGUAAAAUUUGUCAGAGCUAGUUGAUAGAGGUGUUGCAGCCAAGGACCAUAUUUUUGUGUUACACUUUCAGCUUCCCAGCUAUACCAGCUUCAACACAAGGAGAAAGUCCCCG